AACGUAGGUGGCGAGCGUUAUCCGGAUUUACUGGGCGUAAAGGGCGCGCAGGCGGCCGUGUAAGUCCGCUGUGAAAGACCGGGGCUCAACCCCGGGGUGUCAGCGGGGACUGCACGGCUGGAGUCCCGGAGGGGGAGGCGGAAUACCUGGUGUAGCGGUGGAAUGCGUAGAGAUCAGGUGGAACACCGAUGGCGAAGGCAGCCUCCUGGACGGGUACUGACGCUGAGGCGCGAAAGCGUGGGGAGCGAACGGG
rnacentral:rRNA from 1 species